rnacentral:lncRNA from 10 species
CUGAGGUGGAGCCCGCAAAGGAGGGGCUGGAGUAGACCUUACUACUCUUUACCAAUGUUCUCUGCCGCACCCUACAGGGGGACUAAACUACCCACCCCACUCAACUCAGGUGCCACCAUGUAACUUGUUAGGGCCAAUGAUGUGCAACAUGUGUCAUUUCCAGGUAAAAGUUUUACAGUCGAAUUCUGCUUCCUCAGGUUCUUUCUCUUUCCCCUCUGCCAGGUCAUCAGCAAUGUUCCAGAAAGUGUCUGCUCUAUUGGACUGGGUCCUGAUGUGAAGAAGGGAAUGAAGUGGAACAAAGCCCUUAGCCAACCCACCAUGGAAGUAAUGUGAACCAGAAAUAAGCCUUUGUUGUUUUAACCACUGUGUUUGGGGGUUAUUUGUUAUUGUGACAUAACUUCUCCCAACCUGAUAAUACAGAGUCCUUGAGCAAUACCCUAAACUGAUUUUAAUUCUAAAUAAAAGCAUUUACCCCA